UGGCGGGACGGGGUGGAGUAAUGUCUGGGAAACUGCCCGAUGGAGGGGGAUAACUACUGGAAACGGUAGCUAAUACCGCAUAACGUCGCAAGACCAAAGAGGGGGACCUUAGGGCCUCUUGCCAUCGGAUGUGCCCAGAUGGGAUUAGCUAGUAGGUGGGGUAAUGGCUCACCUAGGCGACGAUCCCUAGCUGGUCUGAGAGGAUGACCAGCCACACUGGAACUGAGACACGGUCCAG
rnacentral:rRNA from 1 species